GCGGGAAAACUUACCAGGACCAGACAUGAGAAGGAUUGACAGACUGAUCGCUCUUUCUUGAUAUUAUGGGUGGUGGUGCAUGGCCGUUCUUAGUUCGUGGAGUAAUCUGUCAGGUUAAUUCCGUUAACGAACGAGACUUUAACUUGCUAAUUAAAAAGAAUAUUGUAUAUUCUUUUCUAUUAGAAGGACCAUGAGCAUAUAACUCAAGGAAGCGUGAGGCAAUAA
rnacentral:rRNA from 1 species